GAGGAUAUAGCUCAAAUGGUAGAGCAUAUGCUUAGCAUGCAUGAGGUCCUGGGUUCAAUUCCCAGUAUCUCCA
rnacentral:tRNA from 1 species